UAUGUACUCCCUCCGUUCCAAAAUACUUGACUUCCAUUUGUCCAAAAAUGGAUGUACCUAUAUACUAAGACAUGUCUAGAUACAUAUAUAUUUUGACAAAUAGAAGGCAUGUAUUGUGCAACGAAGGGAGUAGAAU
rnacentral:pre_miRNA from 1 species